UACGUAGGGUGCAAGCGUUAAUCGGAAUUACUGGGCGUAAAGCGUGCGCAGGCGGUUUUGUAAGUCAGAUGUGAAAUCCCCGGGCUUAACCUGGGAACUGCGUUUGAAACUACAAGGCUAGAGUGUGGCAGAGGGGGGUGGAAUUCCACGUGUAGCAGUGAAAUGCGUAGAGAUGUGGAGGAACACCGAUGGCGAAGGCAGCCCCCUGGGUUAACACUGACGCUGAGGCGCGAAAGCUAGGGGAGCGAACGGG
rnacentral:rRNA from 1 species